UACGAAGGGGGCUAGCGUUGCUCGGAAUCACUGGGCGUAAAGGGUGCGUAGGCGGGUCUUUAAGUUAGGGGUGAAAUCCUGGAGCUCAACUCCAGAACUGCCUUUGAUACUGAGGAUCUUGAGUUCGGGAGAGGUGAGUGGAACUGCGAGUGUAGAGGUGAAAUUCGUAGAUAUUCGCAAGAACACCAGUGGCGAAGGCGGCUCACUGGCCCGAUACUGACGCUGAGGCACGAAAGCGUGGGAAGCAAACAGG
rnacentral:rRNA from 1 species